rnacentral:rRNA from 1 species
GACGAACGCUGGCGGCGUGCUUAACACAUGCAAGUCGAGCGGUAAGGCCCCUUCGGGGGUACACGAGCGGCGCACGGGUGAGUAACACGUGAGCAAUCCGCCCAUCACAUCGGGAUAACUCCGGGAAACCGAAGCUAAUACCGAAUACGACCACCUCCGGCAUCGGAUGGUGGUGGAAAGUUCCGGCGGUGAUGGAUGAGCUCGCGGCCUAUCAGCUUGUUGGUGGGGUAACGGCCCACCAAGGCUUCGACGGGUAGCCGGCCUGAGAGGGUGACCGGCCACACUGGGACUGAGACACGGCCCAGACUCCUACGGGAGGCAGCAGUGGGGAAUAUUGGACAAUGGGCGAAAGCCUGAUCCAGCAACGCCGCGUGAGGGAUGACGGCCUUCGGGUUGUAAACCUCUUUCAGCAGGGACGAAGCGCAAGUGACGGUACCUGCAGAAGAAGCACCGGCCAACUACGUG